UCUUCCAAUGCACGUUGGAGAUGAUUACUAAAAAUUUUGAAGAUUAUCCAGAGCAUCGCCUCAAGUUCUUUUCACUUCUACGUGCCAUUGCUACGUAUUGUUUUCCUGCCCUGAUUCGGCUGUCAAGUCAGCAAUUAAAGC